rnacentral:rRNA from 1 species
AGCAGUCGCCGCGGUAAUACGAAGGGUGCAAGCGUUAAUCGGAAUUACUGGGCGUAAAGCGUGCGUAGGCGGUUUGUUAAGUCUGUUGUGAAAUCCCCGGGCUCAACCUGGGAAUGGCAAUGGAUACUGGCAAGCUAGAGUGUGUCAGAGGAUGGUGGAAUUCCCGGUGUAGCGGUGAAAUGCGUAGAGAUCGGGAGGAACAUCAGUGGCGAAGGCGGCCAUCUGGGACAACACUGACGCUGAGGCACGAAAGCGUGGGGAGCAAACAGGAUUAGAUACCCCCGUAGUCCCUGUCUCUUAUAA